CUAUUUAUAUUUUUAUAUAUAUGUAUAUAUUAAAUUUGCCAAAUGUUCUAAUUGGUUAAUAUUUGUGUGUACAAUUAGCGAAAUAGAUUGGGUAGAGUUCCUUAUCCGGAAGAGAUCCAUGAUGUAACUCGUUUCAGUCAAAAUCUUGGUCGGUAUGUUGAUGCUCGAGCUAGCAAUACCCAGGCAGCUUAUCGCACGAAUGCAGCGGAGUUUUUGAAGGAGAAUCUUGAGAUUCCAUCGUAUCCGGAAAUUCCUUCCCCAUUAAACUUCAAUUAUGGGCGAAGGCUGCAGAAAAAGGAAGACCGGAUGGAGGAAAAGAAAGAAAGGGUAGAAUGUACGGUCUUGGGCCAUUAGCUGGCAAUGUGGUACAUGGAGAUUUGUUCUAUGUUCCUCCUCCACCAGAGUCCUCAUCUCGUUCUACAGAGCUGCCUCUUGAGAUGCAAGCAAUGAUACAACGAAUGAACCAGGAAUUGCAAUCUCAAAAGGAGGCGUUGGCAAAGAAAGAAGAAUCGGAGAAUGAGUUAAGGGAAUUGCUAGCCAAACAAGCAUAGGAAAUGAGAAAACUCAAAAGGAUGGUUACAAAAAGUAUGGGUGGCAUGAAGAGUAGGAAAACAUCGGAAUCAUCGUCGCCAUCGAGUCAAUCAUCACCGUUGGUUCAAGAAGACCGAACAUAUGACGACGACAAUGAUGAUGAUGAUGAUCAUGAUGAUGAGGACGAGGACGAGGAGAGGGAUGAUGAUCAUAACGAGUAAUUUAUAUUCUUUUCAGUUGCUGUUUUUUGGUUAGGGAUUUUGGGCACUUUUGGGGUGUUUUAGGUGGUUACUGUCAAAGAAAAUUUAACUUGCAUAUAUGAAUUUUGUUUUAUGUAAUUAUUUAUCAACAUGACAUGUUUUGUAGGAAACAAAUUAUCAAAAAAUUUGGGUUAUUUUCAAA